ACGAACGCUGGCGGCGUGCUUAACACAUGCAAGUCGAACGGAAAGGCCCCUUCGGGGGUACUCGAGUGGCGACCGGGUGAGUAACACGUGAGUAACCUGCCCUUGACUUCGGGAUAACUUCAGGAAACUGGGGCUAAUACCGGAUAGGAAUCCUUGCUGCAUGGUGGGGGUUGGAAAGCUUCGGCGGUUUUGGAUGGACUCGCGGCUUAUCAGCUUGUUGGUGGGGUAGUGGCUUACCAAGGCUUUGACGGGUAGCCGGCCUGAGAGGGCGACCGGCCACAUUGGGACUGAGAUACGGCCCAGACUCCUACGGGAGGCAGCAGUGGGGAAUAUUGCACAAUGGGCGGAAGCCUGAUGCAGCAACGCCGCGUGCGGGAUGACGGCCUUCGGGUUGUAAACCGCUUUCAGCAGGGGCGAAGCUUGUGGUGACGGUACCUGCAGAAGAAGCACCGGCUAACUACGUG
rnacentral:rRNA from 1 species